rnacentral:lncRNA from 1 species
GUUGGCUAUAAAGCCCUGAGGAUGAGCAAGUCACAAGUCAACCAGCUGUUUCUGAGAGGAGCAGCAUGGCCUUGCCGGUGGGGUUCCUGUUGCUCUGGGUCUGUGGAUUUCACCGUGUGGUCUGUCCUGACUAUGAGGUCUCAGAGAAGAGCGUUGAAGAUCUGGACAAGAUAAUGGACAGGCCAUUUAUGACGAAAUGCCUUAGCCCUUUCUGGGAGGUUUCUUGGCAUUUCAAUACUUGCAAGACACCAGCCUCCUAAACUUGAAUUCCGGAGCCAUUUUUAGUGGAUAUGAUGAUCCUCCAGCUGUAGGUGAGUUGAUAAAAACUUUAAGAGUUGUUUUUUAAAUUUGGCAAUAAAAUAUAAAGUUAUUCAAUAUUAUGCUCCUUU